rfam:Ailuropoda melanoleuca scaffold579_6, whole genome shotgun sequence.
GCCUGGCUGGCUCAGUCGGUAGAGCAUCUGACUCUUGAUCUUGGGGUUGUGAGCUUGAGCCCCAUGCUGGGCA